rnacentral:misc_RNA from 1 species
GAAAUGCGAUAAGUAAUGUGAAUUGCAGAAUUCAGUGAAUCAUCGAAUCUUUGAACGCACAUUGCGCUCGCCAGUAUUCUGGCGAGCAUGCCUGUUCGAGCGUCAUUUCAACCAUCAAGCUCUGCUUGCGUUGGGGAUCCGCGGCUGCCCGCGGUCCCUCAAAAACAGUGGCGGGCUCGCUAGUCACACCGAGCGUAGUAACUCUACAUCGCUAUGGUCGUGCGGCAGGUUCUUGCCGUAAAACCCCCAAUUUCUAAGGUUGACCUCGGAUCAGGUAGGAAUACCCGCUGAACUUAAGC